AGUCAUUUUCAGCUACAUUGUGAGUUCCAGACCAACCUGGGCUAUGAGACUGUCUUUAAAGAAAAGGGAAAAAAGCUCCAGAUAUUUAUCCUGCGCAUAUACAAAGCCCAGGGCUCUCAGGGUCUGGAGGAUGCAGUGUACUCUAGUGAUUUACUUUGAUGCUUUGUAAUAAAUACUUCUCACGGUGUGCUUAGAAGAGUAACUUCUGCUUAUUUAGAUUGUUCUUAAGAAAUUACUUGUUAGAAUCCCAUAAAUAAAGUCAGGUUCCUUCUGAGAACCAGGGAAGGUAAUAAGUGUCUAAUGGCUCUCCCCUGCUGUUGACUCCUGGAUAUCAUUCCCUUUGGCCUUUCCUCAUCCCCCUGAAGCUCCUCUGCAUGCUCUAAGCCAACAAAGUGCAUACAGCCUCUCCCUCCUCACCACCGUGUACAAAACACUGCUUCUUCUACACUCCAGCUGGACCCACAGCAUGAGCCCCCCAGCCCCACCCCCAGUCCCUUGAAGUCGAGUGUGGCUCGGGCACUUGGAAACAGAGCUGUUGCUUGGUGAGAGGUUUCUGGGCUUCAAAACUAUGUAAUUGGUAUACAUAGUUCAGUUCAGAUGCCACUUCUACCUGCCCUGUCCUUGGUUAGCCAAAAACUCAAGAGACAUCAGCAGAAAGCAGGCCGAGGACUUUGAGGAAGAGGGUUUUUUUUUUUAAUUUAGAAAAUAUUUGUUUCUCCCAUCCCCCAAAAUACAGUUGUCCCCAUCCUAAAACCAAACCCAUCCUAAAGCCCAGCCCUAUCAUAAAACCGACUGCCUUCUGUCACCCAUGCUGUGAGGACGAAUGUCCUUAACUGAUGGUGAACACCAAGCAGACAUGUGGCUCGUUGCUGCCUGAUUCAGAAAGAACCUGUUCACUUCAUGUAGUCUUUGUACUGCUGCACGGAGCGAUGAAGAAGCAAUGGUGCUGUAGGAAAAGCUCAUCCGUUCUUGAAAUCCCCGCAGUACUAAGUCUGUGUGAUCCAGCAGAUGCAUUUCCUACAGCAUAAACGUCAGCUAUAGCUUUCACACAUGGCUUCUGUUUAAGAUGUUUUAUGUUCUUUACAUUUGCUUUAGUAGUUUUACAAAUUCAGCAUUAAAUUGAAGUCCUAAUCAUUUGCCCUAAAACUCCAUUUGGUUUUUACUUUGUCUCUUUUCUUCCAGGUAUUAGAAACAUCUUAGUUAUUUUUGAAAAAUUAUUUUAUUUGUGCAGUUCAGAAAAGACCUUCACAUAUUGUUACCCAAUUUUUCUAGCAGCCCUGUAAAAUAGGCAGUGUUCCCUUAACCCUCAGACUGAGCAGAAGGGAGGUCAGCAGGUCAGCGAGUAGCUUAGUGGAGGGCAGGCAGCUGCUGUGUCCCAUCUCCAGCAUCCAGAUCGUUCCCGUGACUGAAGCACAGGUCAGUGUUCAUCAAAGAUGAGAUACACUGAUGUCAGAGGCACUGACAACCUGUGUCACUUCAGAGGGGAGCUGGCCGAGAAGCAUUUCCCUCUCUAAUGCAUGCAGGGUCAUUCUGUACUAUAAAGCAAGAGCUGCACACUUCAGGGCUGUGAACUAGAGGACUUCUAGCUGUCAUAAUUUAAAGUGGACGAAUUUGGCAAACCAGCCGUUAUUAAAAGUGAUUAGCUAGAUUUUAUAAGGGAAAAAAAGCACGAAUGACAGCUGGUCCCGUGUGUUCACUGCAGCUGAGGAGAUAAGGUGUGUGUACAGGUUGCGGUUAGAGGCAAAAGCUAGUGACUCCAGGAGGGCAGAGAAGGCAGUUACGGUAGGAAACAUGGGAGAAGAUGGGAGUGGAGCUGGAUCGAAUGGAGGACUGACUGCCUCUGAAUCAAGGACGUGUCGUCCCAGAUGCAGUCCCUGUCCUCAGCCUACUCAUUACCACAUGGAUCUGCUCCACGUUCUGUAACACAAUAAAUACCUUGUGGCUUGAAAGAAUACUUUUUUGCCCCCAAGUGAAAAUGUUUCCAUUCCUAAGUGUAAUGAUUCUUUUUAGAUUCAGACACUACAUAGAGUUAGACCAGGGCAAUGCCACGGGGUAUAACAUGUGGACAGAUGUUUUCCUGCCUGCCCACCCCCAUUUGUUAUCCUUUUCUUCACAUGGAUUGUCUUUCCCUGCUCUCCUCCUCCUCCUGUGUCUGUGAACAGUUUAUUCCAGCUACCGGAUGUUUCCAGUCAGUGAAUAUGCUAGAAACGAGUACAGUAUCUAUUUGGGGAGCAAAUUCUUUUGAAGGGUAGAGAGCAGAAAAGUACACAAACCUUAAAA
rnacentral:sRNA from 1 species